UUUCCCCAAACGCAGGCGCUCGGUGGCGGUAGCCGCGGUUGUUGGCCGACCGAGUGCCGGUCAUAAGCCCCCCCCGGUGGGGGGCAGCUGGUGUGCGGAUCGCGGCGGGAGAGAGGCGCGGUAGGAACGGGUCCCCGGAGCCGUGAACCGCGGGUACAGGUGUCCUGUCUGCGCUCUCUGCCAAGCCGGCUUGCUUCCUGAUCUGUUGCUAGGGCCGCUGGACCCCGUUGCUAAGGACCCUUGAGAUCGUGAGCGCUUGGAGUGUACCCCUCCUUUCCUGGGGUAGAGGUCUCUUUCAGAUACCCAAAUCCACCCAUGCCAAAGUCCUCCAGUCUGCUCUCCGUAUCCGUGGUUGGGUCAAAUCUAUAGAUGUGGAACCCGCAUAUACGGAGAGCCAACUGUAAUUUGUCGUUAAGUUUGUUACAGGAACAACUUUUUGACGUGAAGGAAGAUAGAAAUUUAGCCAUAAAAUUCCAUCCAAAACUUCCACUGAAUUGGAGUGAAAGGGAAGCAAUGCAGAAAUCAGAGGGCUCUGGAGGUACACAGUUGAAAAACA
rnacentral:lncRNA from 10 species